AGCGCGUAUCGGUUCAGACCGAUGCAAAUAAUUUUACUAUUAGACAGUUGGUAGACUGCAGUAGAUCGGAAAUUGUUUUCGGCGUCGCGUCGCGUCGUAUCGUAUUUGCUGCGUUCGGUAAUUAAUAAUUGAUUUCAAUCGGUGAUCGACAAAGUAGUUCGUCGACAGAAAGAUCAGGCGAUCAAGAAUCGAGUCGGGGAUGGUUCGAAGGAUCUCAGGAUGCCGUGUGAAAAUCGUCGCGAGUGGAAUUCAAACCGUCGCGAAAUGGGACGGUUGGCGUGGAAUGCCAGCGUUUCGUGAGUCGCGUAAUGGCAUAUCCACACAACUUGCAUAGCCGUAUAAACGUAUGCAUAAAGAAAAUUAUCCAGUUAUAUUUUAUUAUGAGAGAAAUGCGACUAUGUAAGUUUGUAGAUAUAUCCUAAAUAGCCGUGUGCGUGAAGUGUUUCGAUAUGUAAUAAAAGUGUUGAAAAGUGACGAAAAGUGCAUGUUGAAAGCAUAAAGUGAAAAAAGUGUGUGGUAAAAAGUGUUUAUAGUGUCCCCAAUGGAGUAACGAUUUUGGAUAUCCAAGAUGUCUGCCAAGACGACCAGCGCAGUGGGUGGCGAGUGUUAAUGACGAUCGAGGAGAGCUGAUGUCUUCCGAUGUCCAGUCAAGAAAUGGUGGACGGCGCCGUUCUCGUUGUCAACGCGGAUUAUUGAGGUGGUUCAUCAUGGUACGAGAGUUGCGGAACAGCUGGAUCCUCACGAGACUUCUUUGAUACGUUGCAACGUCAAUUGACAAAAAAAAAAACAGCACCAUCGCCACUACCCUUGACAACGAUCGUUAACUCUUGUUCUGCGAUGACCUCGAGCCAUUUGCGCUUUAGCCGUCGUCCGUGCACGCCGACUGAGGACUCCCUAGUAAGCCAUAAUGCAAGAUGUGGAUUGGCGGAGAAACUCUUCCGAGAUUCUUAAGGUCUUAACCAAUGAGCUGUCAGACUGGAGUGUGCCUUGAAGUAGUGGAGGUGGCCAAAUGGAGGUGGAGCAAAUUGUAGUUCGAGAGUGACAGCAAAUUAAAAUGUAUCUUAUAUGUAUAGCAUUGUACUGGUUUGAUCUCUUACUAGAGAGUCCUUAGUUUUUAUUAUUAGAAAUACAAUGAUAAGUUUUAU